UGGGGAAUAUUGCACAAUGGGCGCAAGCCUGAUGCAGCCAUGCCGCGUGUAUGAAGAAGGCCUUCGGGUUGUAAAGUACUUUCAGUCGGGAGGAAGGUGUCAAGGUUAAUAACCUUGGCAAUUGACGUUACCGACAGAAGAAGCACCGGCUAACUCCGUGCCAGCAGCUGCGGUAAUACGGAGGGUGCAAGCGUUAAUCGGAAUUACUGGGCGUAAAGCGCACGCAGGCGGUUGAUUGAGUCAGAUGUGAAAUCCCCGGGCUUAACCCGGGAAUUGCAUCUGAUACUGGUCAGCUAGAGUCUUGUAGAGGGGGGUAGAAUUCCAUGUGUAGCGGUGAAAUGCGUAGAGAUGUGGAGGAAUACCGGUGGCGAAGGCGGCCCCCUGGACAAAGACUGACGCUCAGGUGCGAAAGCGUGGGGAGCAAACAGG
rnacentral:rRNA from 1 species